rnacentral:rRNA from 1 species
UACGGGGGGGGCAAGCGUUGUUCGGAAUUACUGGGCGUAAAGGGCUCGUAGGUGGCCAACUAAGUCAGACGUGAAAUCCCUCAGCUUAACUGGGGAACUGCGUCUGAUACUGGAUGGCUUGAGUUUGGGAGAGGGAUGCGGAAUUCCCAGUGUAGCGGUGAAAUGCGUAGAUAUUGGGAGGAACACCAGUGGCGAAGGCGGCUACCUGGACAGGUACUGACGCUGAAGCGCGAAAGCUAGGGGAGCAAACAGG